rnacentral:rRNA from 1 species
GGGUGCGAUCAUACCAGCACUAAUGCACCGGAUCCCAUCAGAACUCCGCAGGUAAGCGUGCUUGGGCGAGAGUAGUACUAGGAUGGGUGACCUCCUAGGAAGUCCUCGUGUUGCACCCC